GAUGAACGCUAGCGGCAGGCUUAACACAUGCAAGACGAGGGGUAUUAGGAGCUUGCUCCUAAGAGACCGGCGCACGGGUGCGUAACGCGUAUGCAACCUACCUUGAACAGGGGGAUAGCCCAGAGAAAUUUGGAUUAAUACCCCAUGGUAUAUUAGAAUGGCAUCAUUUUAUUAUUAAAGUCACAACGGUUCAAGAUGGGCAUGCGUCCCAUUAGCUAGAUGGUAAGGUAACGGCUUACCAUGGCUACGAUGGGUAGGGGUCCUGAGAGGGAGGUCCCCAAACCGUGUACUGAGACACGGACCAGACUCCUACGGGAGGCAGCAGUGAGGAAUAUUGGUCAAUGGGCGCAAGCCUGAACCAGCCAUGCCGCGUGCAGGAUGAAGCAUCUAUGGUGUGUAAACUGCUUUUAUACGGGAAGAAACCCUGCCACGUGUGGCAGAUUGACGGUACCGUAGGAAUAAGGAUCGGCUAACUCCGUGCCAGCAGCCGCCGUAA
rnacentral:rRNA from 1 species